rnacentral:tRNA from 1 species
GCCCUCUUAGCUCAGGGGAUAGAGCACAGGUUUCCUAAACCUGGUGUCGGAGGUUCGAAUCCUCCAGGGGGCA